rnacentral:rRNA from 1 species
UGCUCUGUGGAUCAGUGGCGAACGGGUGAGUAACACGUGAGCAACCUGCCCCUGACUCUGGGAUAAGCGCUGGAAACGGCGUCUAAUACUGGAUACGAGCAACGGCCAAAUGGCCAGUUGUUGGAAAGAUUUUUUGGUUGGGGAUGGGCUCGCGGCCUAUCAGCUUGUUGGUGAGGUAAUGGCUCACCAAGGCGUCGACGGGUAGCCGGCCUGAGAGGGUGACCGGCCACACUGGGACUGAGACACGGCCCAGACUCCUACGGGAGGCAGCAGUGGGGAAUAUUGCACAAUGGGCGGAAGCCUGAUGCAGCAACGCCGCGUGAGGGAUGACGGCCUUCGGGUUGUAAACCUCUUUUAGCAGGGAAGAAGCGAAAGUGACGGUACCUGCAGAAAAAGCGCCGGCUAACUACGUGCCAGCAGCCGCGGUAAUACGUAGGGCGCAAGCGUUAUCCGGAAUUAUUGGGCGUAAAGAGCUCGUAGGCGGUUUGUCGCGUCUGCUGUGAAAUCUGGGGGCUCAACCCCCAGCCUGCAGUGGGUACGGGCAGACUAGAGUGCGGUAGGGGAGAUUGGAAUUCCUGGUGUAGCGGUGGAAUGCGCAGAUAUCAGGAGGAACACCGAUGGCGAAGGCAGAUCUCUGGGCCGUAACUGACGCUGAGGAGCGAAAGGGUGGGGAGCAAACAGGCUUAGAUACCCUGGUAGUCCACCCCGUAAACGUUGGGAACUAGUUGUGGGGUCCAUUCCACGGAUUCCGUGACGCAGCUAACGCAUUAAGUUCCCCGCCUGGGGAGUACGGCCGCAAGGCUAAAACUCAAAGGAAUUGACGGGGACCCGCACAAGCGGCGGAGCAUGCGGAUUAAUUCGAUGCAACGCGAAGAACCUUACCAAGGCUUGACAUAUACCAAGAACGGGCCCAGAAAUGGUCAACUCUUUUGGACACUCGUUAAACAGGUGGGUGCAUGGGUUGUCGUCCAGCUCCGUGUCCUGGAAAUGUUGGGGUUA